rnacentral:rRNA from 1 species
GAUGAACGCUAGCGGCAGGCUUAACACAUGCAAGUCGAGGGGUAGGUUACUUCGGUAAUUGAGACCGGCGCACGGGUGCGUAACGCGUAUACAAUCUACCUUUUACAGAGGGAUAGCCCAGAGAAAUUUGGAUUAAUACCUCAUAGUAUUUUUGAAUCGCAUGAUUUGAUUAUUAAAGUUCCAACGGUAAAAGAUGAGUAUGCGUCCCAUUAGCUAGAUGGUAAGGUAACGGCUUACCAUGGCUACGAUGGGUAGGGGUCCUGAGAGGGAGAUCCCCCCACACUGGUACUGAGACACGGACCAGACUCCUACGGGAGGCAGCAGUGAGGAAUAUUGGACAAUGGGCGCAAGCCUGAUCCAGCCAUGCCGCGUGCAGGAUGACGGUCCUAUGGAUUGUAAACUGCUUUUAUACAGGAAGAAACACUCCGACGUGUCGGAGCUUGACGGUACUGUAAGAAUAAGGAUCGGCUAACUCCGUGCCAGCAGCCGCGGUAAAGUG